AUAUGACUGGUGUGUAGUUCUGUAUGGUAGUUAUAUGACUGGUGUGUAGUUCCCUACUGUAGUUAUAUCACUGUGGUAUGCCGGUGAACUCCGUGUGAUUGGUUGUUGUUAUUCCCUCAGGACCACUGAUUUAUCCUCCACCACUCAGAAGAAGGUGAACCUGGUGUUUGACAGAAUCAACCAACUGAAGUGGAAGACUGCAGAGAACGUGGAGGAGGAGAUCAGGGUGAGGCUCGUUUGGGAUGACUUGUUUCAGAUGGUUCUGUCCACCCUGAAACAUACACAUUGUCAAAGUAGCCUAUGUCUGUAACAAUGUGUGUGUGAACUGGAAGGGUUUCUAAUGAGUGUGUGUGUGUGUGUGUGUGUGUCCGUCCCAACCUUGCAGGAUUGUGCUGCUGAGACCAAGGCGCUACAGCAGGAAGGAGCAGAACUGGAGAGAGAGGUGUCAAAGCUGAAGACACAGUUGGAGCAUAAGACCAAGAAUGGUAGAGCCCUAGUGGAGGCAUGUGAGAGGGCUCAGACGGACGUGAAGACUGUUCAGGAGGAACUGGACAGGAGACGGGAGGAACUCUCCACGCUACGGGAUAGGCUGGCUGGGAUGGAGGCGGAGCUUGAAGUUGUCAUAGACGAGUAAGGCCCAAUCCUAAAUGGACCCCCGGCAAGACCUUUUACACCUUAUGUGGAGAUUUUGAGAGGAUCUCUGAACAUGUCGUUGUGAAUUGUGAAAUGGCCUCUUGAAGAACAAUUUCUGAUUUCUCUGGUCUGGUGCUCUCUGGUUCCUCAGGCUUGUGUUACUAGUGCAGGUCAAAAUGUGAGGUGGUCUGUAUAUUUCAGUUCAUGUUUCAGCCUAGUGACCUUUUUCUCAAGACCAAAGGUGUAUGUUCCUCAGGCUAGUCAAGGUGAAGGCAGAGAGAGAACGUGGCCGUACAGAGAGGACGGUCCUCCAGCAGCAGCUGUCUGAUCUGCAUGAUGAACUGGACCAGGCCAAGAACGCAACACAGGCAGAAAGCACAGAGAAACAGCUCCUUCUGAAGGUAAGGAACAGGUUGUGAGAGAACUUGGUUCAUUCUUAUUCUUCCACAAUAUUUUGAAUUCAGAAUAUUCCCAUUGACACCCCCUUUUGUACACUGCUGCUACUCGCUGUUAUCGAUGCAUUCACUUCACCCCCACCUACAUGUACAUAUUACCUCAACUAGCCUGUACCCCCAGGACACUGACUCGGUACCGAUGCCCCCUGUAUAUAGCCUCCACACUGACUCCGUUCCGGUGCCCCCUGUAUAUAGCCUCCACACUGACUCUGUACCGGUACCCCCUGUAUAUAGCCUCCACAUUGACUCUGUACCGGUACCCCCUGUAGGUAGCCUCCACAUGACUCGUGUACCGGUACCCCCCUGUAUGUAGC
rnacentral:lncRNA from 1 species